rnacentral:lncRNA from 1 species
AUGAAAGAGGGUCUGCUCUAGUUUAUUCUAAAGAUAUUACUGGAAGAGAAAAAAAUGAAUACUGAUAUUACGAGAGGGCAAUGUCACAGUUCAUGAGAACAGUCUUGAAUAUCAUGACACUCAGCAAGUAUGUGAGUUGAUGGGAUGCGGCAGGAAGACAUGCACAUACUUAUAGUGACAGUGUUUGUGGAGAUAUCCUGGAUUGCAGGAAACAAGGCAAUGAAGAGGAGGCAGUGAACGGCAAACAAGCAGCAUUAGCAGUUAGGGGCCUGGGGCUCCAGGAAAAAAACAAGGAACAAACAAAGAUGACAGGACAGAGUUACCAUGACACUCAUCA